GUCUUUCUCUCACAAGGCCAUAAGGUCUGAAGUGGCUGGAAAAUAGGUUUACACAAGUGUUUUGCUUGGACUCAAGGCUAAGUAUACAAUAUAUGUAUGGACUUUUAAAAGAAAGGAGGGGGGGAUGGCUCUUUUUCUACCUUUUGGUUCCAUCCUUGCUCACACACACUAUGGAUUUUCAUAUCCAUAAUUGUUAGUUGAUUAUUUGCAACAACAUCUAAUAUGGAUGAAUUGAGUCUUCUAAGGUUUUAUGCUUUAUACAUGUCAUUUGGUAAGGUAGUGUUGAUCCUGACAACAUGACUUAUGAGGAAUUGCUUGAAUUAGGGGAGACUGUUGGAACUCAAAGUCGAGCUCUCUCCCAAUAACUUAUUUCUUUGCUCCCAGUUUCAAAAUACAGGUGCAGUUUUUUCUCGAGGAAGAAAUCAAAUAAUGAGAGAUGUGUAAUUUGCUAAAUGAAAUAUAAAAGAGGUGAGAGACAGAUUACCCUUCCUUGCAAACAUGUCUAUCAUGCUGGAUGCGGCACCCAAUGGCUUAGCAUCAACAAGGCUUGCCCCAUAUGUUACUCCGAGGUGUUUGGCGACUCGAAAAAAAUUGAAGAACUAUAACGAGUCAUGAUGAACAUAAAGAGAAC